GACGAACGCUGGCGGCGUGCUUAACACAUGCAAGUCGAACGGAAAGGCCCUGCUUUUGUGGGGUGCUCGAGUGGCGAACGGGUGAGUAACACGUGAGUAACCUGCCCUUGACUUUGGGAUAACUUCAGGAAACUGGGGCUAAUACCGGAUAGGAGCUCCUGCUGCAUGGUGGGGGUUGGAAAGUUUCGGCGGUUGGGGAUGGACUCGCGGCUUAUCAGCUUGUUGGUGGGGUAGUGGCUUACCAAGGCUUUGACGGGUAGCCGGCCUGAGAGGGUGACCGGCCACAUUGGGACUGAGAUACGGCCCAGACUCCUACGGGAGGCAGCAGUGGGGAAUAUUGCACAAUGGGCGGAAGCCUGAUGCAGCAACGCCGCGUGCGGGAUGACGGCCUUCGGGUUGUAAACCGCUUUCGCCUGUGACGAAGCGUGAGUGACGGUAAUGGGUAAAGAAGCACCGGCUAACUACGUGCCAGCAGCCGCGGUGAUACGUAGGGUGCGAGCGUUGUCCGGAUUUAUUGGGCGUAAAGGGCUCGUAGGUGGUUGAUCGCGUCGGAAGUGUAAUCUUGGGGCCUAACCCUGAGCGUGCUUUCGAUACGGGUUGACUUGAGGAAGGUAGGGGAGAAUGGAAUUCCUGGUGGAGCGGUGGAAUGCGCAGAUAUCAGGAGGAACACCAGUGGCGAAGGCGGUUCUCUGGGCCUUUCCUGACGCUGAGGAGCGAAAGCGUGGGGAGCGAACAGGCUUAGAUACCCUGGUAGUCCACGCUGUAAACGGUGGGUACUAGGUGUGGGGUCCAUUCCACGGGUUCCGUGCCGUAGCUAACGCUUUAAGUACCCCGCCUGGGGAGUACGGCCGCAAGGCUAAAACUCAAAGGAAGGGGCGGGGCCCCGCACAAGCGGCGGAGCAUGCGGAUUAAUUCGGUGCAACGCGUAGAACCUUACCUGGGUUGACAUGGAUCGGGAAUGCUCAGAGAUGGGUGUGCCUCUUUUGGGGUCGGUUCACAGGUGGUGCAUGGCUGUCGUCAGCUCGUGUCGUGAGAGGUUGGGUUAAGUCCCGCAACGAGCGCAACCCUUGUUCACUGUUGCCAGCGCGUUAUGGUGGGGACUCAGUGGAGACCGCCGGGGUCAACUCGGAGGAAGGUGGGGAUGACGUCAAGUCAUCAUGCCCCUUAUGUCCAGGGCUUCACGCAUGCUACAAUGGCUGGUACAGAGAGUGGCGAGCCUGUGAGGGUGAGCGAAUCUCGGAAAGCCGGUCUCAGUUGGGAUUGGGGUCUGCAACUCGACCUCAUGAAGUCGGAGUCGCUAGUAAUCGCAGAUCAGCAACGCUGCGGUGAAUACGUUCCCGGGGCU
rnacentral:rRNA from 1 species